rnacentral:rRNA from 1 species
GACGAACGCUGGCGGCGUGCCUAAUACAUGCAAGUCGAACGCAGUGGGGACGGGUGAGUAACACGUGGGUAACCUCCCAUCAGAGGGGAUAACACUUGGAAACAGGUGCUAAACCGAUACUGAUGGAUGGAACCGCGGUGCAUUAGCUAGUUGGUGGGGUAACGGCUCACCAAGGCCACGAUGCAUAGCCUGCCUGAGAGGGGGAGCGGCCACACUGGGACUGAGACACGGCCCAGACUCCUACGGGAGGCAGCAGUAGGGAAUCUUCGGCAAUGGGCGCAAGUCUGACCGAGCAACGCCGCGUGAGUGAAGAAGGUCUUCGGGUUGUAAAACUCUUUUGGUAGAGAAGCGGUAUCCAACCAGAAAGCAACGGCUAACUACGUGCCAGCCGCCGCGGUAAUAC